rnacentral:rRNA from 1 species
GACGAACGCUGGCGGCGUGCCUAAUACAUGCAAGUCGAACGCAGUGGGGACGGGUGAGUAACACGUGGGUAACCUCCCAUCAGAGGGGAUAACACUUGGAAACAGGUGCUAAACCGAUACUGAUGGAUGGACCCGCGGUGCAUUAGCUAGUUGGUGAGGUAACGGCUCACCAAGGCCACGAUGCAUAGCCCACCUGAGGGGGGUAUCGGCAACACUGGAAGUGGAACAGGCCCCAAACCCUAACGGAGGGCACAGGUGGGAAUUUUCGGGAAUUGAACAAAGGUUGAACCAGCCAAGCCGCGGUAGUGAAGAAGGGUUUCGGAUUGGAAAACUCUGUUGUUAGGGAAACGGGAUUUUACCAAAAAGCCACGGCUAACUUCGUUGCAGCAGCCGCGGUAAUAC